UACGUAGGGUGCAAGCGUUGUCCGGAAUUAUUGGGCGUAAAGAGCUCGUAGGCGGUUUGUCGCGUCUGCUGUGAAAACUCGGGGCUUAACUCCGGGCCUGCAGUGGGUACGGGCAGACUAGAGUGCGGUAGGGGAGACUGGAAUUCCUGGUGUAGCGGUGAAAUGCGCAGAUAUCAGGAGGAACACCGAUGGCGAAGGCAGCUCGCUGGGACGGUACUGACGCUGAGGCGCGAAAGCGUGGGGAGCAAACGGG
rnacentral:rRNA from 1 species